rnacentral:rRNA from 1 species
CUUAGAGUUUGAUCCUGGCUCAGAUUGAACGCUGGCGGCAUGCUUUACACAUGCAAGUCGAACGGCAGCACGGACUUCGGUCUGGUGGCGAGUGGCGAACGGGUGAGUAAUACAUCGGAACGUGCCCAGUUGUGGGGGAUAACUACUCGAAAGAGUAGCUAAUACCGCAUGAGAACUGAGGUUGAAAGCAGGGGAUCGUAAGACCUUGCGCAACUGGAGCGGCCGAUGGCAGAUUAGGUAGUUGGUGGGAUAAAAGCUUACCAAGCCGACGAUCUGUAGCUGGUCUGAGAGGACGACCAGCCACACUGGGACUGAGACACGGCCCAGACUCCUACGGGAGGCAGCAGUGGGGAAUUUUGGACAAUGGGCGAAAGCCUGAUCCAGCAAUGCCGCGUGCAGGAUGAAGGCCUUCGGGUUGUAAACUGCUUUUGUACGGAACGAAAAGCUUCGGGUUAAUACCCUGAAGUCAUGACGGUACCGUAAGAAUAAGCACCGGCUAACUACGUGCCAGCAGCCGCGGUAAUACGUAGGGUGCAAGCGUUAAUCGGAAUUACUGGGCGUAAAGCGUGCGCAGGCGGUCUUGUAAGACAGANGUGAAAUCCCCNGGCUCAACCUGGGAACUGCCUUUGUGACUGCAAGG